rnacentral:rRNA from 1 species
GCCAGACUCCUACGGGAGGCAGCAGUGGGGGAUAUUGCACAAUGGGGGAAACCCUGAUGCAGCAACGCCGCGUGAGCGAAGAAGGUCUUCGGAUCGUAAAGCUCUGUCCUUGAGGAAGAAGGAAGUGACGGUACUCAAGGAGGAAGCCCCGGCUAACUACGUGCCAGCAGCCGCGGUAAUACGUAGGGGGCAAGCGUUAUCCGGAUUUACUGGGUGUAAAGGGAGCGUAGACGGCGAAGAAAGUCUGAAGUGAAAGCCCGCGGCUCAACCGCGGAACUGCUUUGGAAACUUUUUUGCUGGAGUACCGGAGAGGUAAGCGGAAUUCCUAGUGUAGCGGUGAAAUGCGUAGAUAUUAGGAGGAACACCAGUGGCGAAGGCGGCUUACUGGACGGUAACUGACGUUGAGGCUCGAAAGCGUGGGGAGCAAACAGGAUUAGAUACCCCCGUA